AGUGAACGCUGGCGGUAUGCCUAACACAUGCAAGUCGAACGGCAGCACAGUAAGAGCUUGCUCUUACGGGUGGCGAGUGGCGGACGGGUGAGGAAUACAUCGGAAUCUACUUUUUCGUGGGGGAUAACGUAGGGAAACUUACGCUAAUACCGCAUACGACCUACGGGUUAAAGCAGUGGAUCUUCGGACCUUUCGCGAUUGAAUGAGCCGAUGUCGGAUUAGCUAGUUGGCGGGGUAAAGGCCCACCAAGGCGACGAUCCGUAGCUGGUCUGAGAGGAUGAUCAGCCACACUGGAACUGAGACACGGUCCAGACUCCUACGGGAGGCAGCAGUGGGGAAUAUUGGACAAUGGGCGCAAGCCUGAUCCAGCCAUACCGCGUGGGUGAAGAAGGCCUUCGGGUUGUAAAGCCCUUUUGUUGGGAAAGAAAAGCAGCAGGUUAAUACCCCGCUGUUCUGACGGUACCCAAAGAAUAAGCACCGGCUAACUUCGUG
rnacentral:rRNA from 1 species